UAAAAAUGUAAAUAAAAUAAUCUAAAUUAUUAAUAGUUAUAUUCUUUAAAUUUAAUGAAUUUGGCGGUAUUAUAAUCUAAUUAGAGGAACCUGUAUUUUAAUUGAUAAUCCACGAUAAAUUUUACUUAAUUUUGUAAUCAGUUUGUAUACCGCCGUUAUCAGAAUAUUUUAUAAGAAAAAUUAAUUUUCUAAACUUUUUUUAUUAAAAUUAUUUCAGGUCAAGGUGCAACUAAUAAUUAAGUUAAUAUGGGUUACAAUAAAAUUAUUUACAUGAAUUUAAUUUUUUAAAUAAAAUUAUUAAAGUGGAUUUAAAAGUAAAUUAAAUUAUUUUAUUUAAUUGAAUAUAGCUCUAUAAUAUGU
rnacentral:rRNA from 1 species